rnacentral:rRNA from 1 species
UACGAAGGGGGCUAGCGUUGCUCGGAAUCACUGGGCGUAAAGCGCACGUAGGCGGAUCUUUAAGUCAGGGGUGAAAUCCUGGAGCUCAACUCCAGAACUGCCUUUGAUACUGAAGAUCUUGAGUUCGGGAGAGGUGAGUGGAACUGCGAGUGUAGAGGUGAAAUUCGUAGAUAUUCGCAAGAACACCAGUGGCGAAGGCGGCAUCCUGGACCGACACCGACACUGAGGAGCGAAAGCCAGGGGAGCAAACGGG